AGGAUGAACGCUGGCGGCGUGCCUAACACAUGCAAGUCGAACGAAGCCUUCGGGUUUAGUGGCGCACGGGUGCGUAACGCGUGGGAAUCUGCCCCUUGGUUCGGAAUAACAGUUGGAAACGACUGCUAAUACCGGAUGACGACGUAAGUCCAAAGAUUUAUCGCCGAGGGAUGAGCCCGCGUAGGAUUAGGUAGUUGGUGUGGUAAAGGCGCACCAAGCCGACGAUCCUUAGCUGGUCUGAGAGGAUGAUCAGCCACACUGGGACUGAGACACGGCCCAGACUCCUACGGGAGGCAGCAGUGGGGAAUAUUGGACAAUGGGCGAAAGCCUGAUCCAGCAAUGCCGCGUGAGUGAUGAAGGCCUUAGGGUUGUAAAGCUCUUUACCCGGGAUGAUAAUGACAGUACCGGGAGAAUAAGCUCCGGCUAACUCCGUGCCAGCAGCCGC
rnacentral:rRNA from 1 species